rnacentral:rRNA from 1 species
CCUACGGGAGGCAGCAGUGAGGAAUAUUGGUCAAUGGGCUUACGCCUGAACCAGCCAAGUCGCGUGAGGGAAGACUGCCCUAUGGGUUGUAAACCUCUUUUGUCAGGGAGCAAUUGGCGCUACGUGUAGCGUUAUCGAGAGUACCUGAAGAAAAAGCAUAGGCUAACUCCGUGCCAGCAGCCGCGGUAAUACGGAGGAUGCGAGCGUUAUCCGGAUUUAUUGGGUGUAAAGGGUGCGUAGGCGGAAUGCCCAGUCAGCGGUAAAAUCGCGGGGCUCAACCUCGCUCCGCCGUUGAAACUGGCGUUCUUGAGUGGGCGAGAAGUAUGCGGAAUGCGUGGUGUAGCGGU